UACGUAGGGGGCUAGCGUUGUCCGGAAUCAUUGGGCGUAAAGAGCGUGUAGGCGGUCCGGUAAGUCCGCUGUGAAAGUCGGGGGCUCAACCCUCGAAUGCCGGUGGAUACUGUCGGGCUAGAGUGCGGAAGAGGCGAGUGGAAUUCCUGGUGUAGCGGUGAAAUGCGCAGAUAUCUGGAGGAACACCGGUGGCGAAGGCGGCGUUCUGGACUGCAACUGACACUGAUGAACGAAAGCCAGGGGAGCAAACGGG
rnacentral:rRNA from 1 species